CACUCCUACGGGAGGCAGCAGUGGGGAAUAUUGGACAAUGGGCGCAAGCCUGAUCCAGCCAUGCCGCGUGAGUGAUGAAGGCCCUAGGGUUGUAAAGCUCUUUCACCGGUGAAGAUAAUGACGGUAACCGGAGAAGAAGCCCCGGCUAACUUCGUGCCAGCAGCCGCGGUAAUACGAAGGGGGCUAGCGUUGUUCGGAUUUACUGGGCGUAAAGCGCACGUAGGCGGACUAUUAAGUCAGGGGUGAAAUCCCGGGGCUCAACCCCGGAACUGCCUUUGAUACUGGUAGUCUUGAGUUCGGGAGAGGUGAGUGGAAUUCCGAGUGUAGAGGUGAAAUUCGUAGAUAUUCGGAGGAACACCAGUGGCGAAGGCGGCUCACUGGCUCGAUACUGACGCUGAGGUGCGAAAGCGUGGGGAGCAAACAGGAUUAGAUACCCGAGUAGUCCC
rnacentral:rRNA from 1 species